rnacentral:rRNA from 1 species
UAGGGAAUCUUCCACAAUGGGCGCAAGCCUGAUGGAGCAACACCGCGUGAGUGAAGAAGGGUUUCGGCUCGUAAAGCUCUGUUGUUAAAGAAGAACACGUAUGAGAGUAACUGUUCAUACGUUGACGGUAUUUAACCAGAAAGUCACGGCUAACUACGUGCCAGCAGCCGCGGUAAUACGUAGGUGGCAAGCGUUAUCCGGAUUUAUUGGGCGUAAAGAGAGUGCAGGCGGUUUUUCUAAGUCUGAUGUGAAAGCCUUCGGCUUAACCGGAGAAGUGCAUCGGAAACUGGAUAACUUGAGUGCAGAAGAGGGUAGUGGAACUCCAUGUGUAGCGGUGGAAUGCGUAGAUAUAUGGAAGAACACCAGUGGCGAAGGCGGCUACCUGGUCUGCAACUGACGCUGAGACUCGAAAGCAUGGGUAGCGAACAGGAUUAGAUACCCUGGUAGUCCAUGCCGUAAACGAUGAGUGCUAGGUGUUGGAGGGUUUUCCGCCCUUCAGUGCCGGAGCUAACGCAUUAAGCACUCCGCCUGGGGGAGUACGACCGCAAGG